UAGGGAAUAUUAGAAAUGGACGAAAGUCUGAUCUAGCAACACCGCGUGUGCGAAGAAGGCCUUCGGGUUGUAAAGCACUUUUUGGAAGGAUUAGGAAGGAAUGUACUUCCAGAAUAAGUCUCGGCUAACUACUUGCCAGCAGCCGCGGUAACACGUAGGAGGCAAACGUUAUCCGGAUUUACUGGGGGUAAAGCGCGGGUAGGUGGUUCUGUAAGUAGGUCGUUAAAGCGCCUGGCUCAACUGGGAGAGGCCGUUCGAAACUGCAGAGCUAGAGGAUGGUAGGGGGAGGUGGAAUUCCGGGUGUAGCGGUGGAAUGCGCAGAUAUCCGGAGGAACACCAGUGGCGAAAGCGGCCUCCUGGACCAUACCUGACACUCAGACGCGAAAGCUAGGGUAGCAAACG
rnacentral:rRNA from 1 species